GACGAACGCUGGCGGCGUGCCUAAUACAUGCAAGUCGAACGGUCUUUUCUAUGGAAGCUUGCUUCCACUGAGAAGAUAGUGGCGAACGGGUGAGUAACACGUGGGUAACCUGCCCAUAAGAGGGGGAUAACAUCCGGAAACGGGUGCUAAUACCGCCUAGUUUUCUUGAUCGCAUGAUCGGGAAAGGAAAGACGGCCUUUGUGCUGUCGCUUAUGGAUGGACCCGCGGCGUAUUAGUUAGUAGGUGAGGUAACGGCUCACCAAGACGAUGAUACGUAGCCGACCUGAGAGGGUGAUCGGCCACAUUGGGACUGAGACACGGCCCAAACUCCUACGGGAGGCAGCAGUAGGGAAUCUUCCGCAAUGGACGAAAGUCUGACGGAGCAACGCCGCGUGAGUGAAGAAGGUUUUCGGAUCGUAAAACUCUGUUGUCAGAGAAGAACAAGUUGGAGAGUAACUGCUCCAGCCUUGACGGUAUCUGACCAGAAAGCCACGGCUAACUACGUGCCAGCCGCCGCUGUAACAC
rnacentral:rRNA from 1 species